ACACUGUGCAAUGCGCGAAAGCGCGACACGGGGAGCUUGAGUGUCUUGGCAUAGCCAAGACUUUUCUCAUUCCUAAAAAGCAUGAGGAAUAAGUGCUGGGUAAGACGGGUGCCAGCCGCCGCGGUAACACCCGCAGCACGAGUAGUGGUCACUUUUAUUGAGCCUAAAGCGUUCGUAGCCGGUUUUGUAAAUCUUCAGAUAAAGCCUGAAGCUUAACUCCAGAAAGUCUGAAGAGACUGCAAGACUUGAGAUCGGGUGAGGUUAAACGUACUUUCAGGGUAGGGGUAAAAUCCUGUAAUCCCGGAAGGACGACCAGUGGCGAAAGCGUUUAACUAGAACGAAUCUGACGGUAAGGAACGAAGGCUAGGGUAGCAAACCGGAUUAGAUACCCGGGUAGUCCUAGCUGUAAACAUUGCCCAUUUGAUGUUGCUUUUCCGUUGAGGGAAGGCAGUGUCGGAGCGAAGGUGUU
rnacentral:rRNA from 1 species